rnacentral:rRNA from 1 species
GAUGAACGCUGGCGGCGUGCUUAACACAUGCAAGUCGAACGGAAAGGCUCCUGCUUGCAGGGGUACUCGAGUGGCGAACGGGUGAGUAACACGUGGGUGAUCUGCCCUGCACUUCGGGAUAAGCCUGUGAAACUGGGUCUAAUACCGGAUAGGACGAUGGUUUGGAUGCCAUUGUGGAAAGGUUUUCGGUGUGGGAUGAGCUCGCGGCUUCUCAGCUUGUUGGUGGGGUAAUGGCCUACCAAGGCGUCGACGGGUAGCCGGCCUGAGAGGGUGUACGGCCACAUUGGGACUGAGAUACGGCCCAGACUCCUACGGGAGGCAGCAGUGGGGAAUAUUGCACAAUGGGCGCAAGCCUGAUGCAGCGACGCCGCGUGGGGGAUGACGGCCUUCGGGUUGUAAACUCCUUUCGCUAGGGACGAAGCGCAAGUGACGGUACCUGGAGAAGAAGCACCGGCUAACUACGUG